CAGAGCCACGAGCCAGCUGCAGACUUUAUUUGUUUGAUACAUGUAAUUAAUUCACAAAGGACCAUAAGAGCUUUAGACUCAGAGUACAAAGGAGUUGGGCUGCUGUAACAAGAAAACUGAGGGAUGAGAAGUAAGAAAAGACUGAAAUUAGAGGAAGGGAGAAUGACAGACUAAGAGGCUCACAGAAAAAGAUCGCAGGGGCAACAGUCUCAGCAGAGACUUCUCCUCCAGCUCCUUUUGGAGAAGCCCGAGGCGCUCCAGGCCAGCAGAGGGACCCUCCAACUUGUUCAUGGUCUAUAAAGACCUUGAUGAUCGAAAAGUGAAAUAGCUUGUAAAGCAACAACAAGAUCCUCAUUCGACCUACAUAAGUUUACAGAAUCAUUAGUGGUACAUUUC